ensembl:misc_RNA
UAGCCCACCAGUCUGAUAGGCAGCAUUUAAUCCUUCUACGCCUUCUUUUGCCACCUGUUGAGGUCUUUCCUCUGAAACAAAGAAGAAAUAGACAAAUCAGACUUGUCCUCUUGGAAAUGUGGUACAGAUUUCUCUACUCCCAAGCUCCAGAAAA